CUUGGAAUGGGAAAUGGUAACGUCUUCUGGUAGUUGAAUGAUCAGUAACAUUUUUAUAAAUGCAUUUUGAGGCAUUAGAGCAAUAGAGAAAAAUACUGUUCCGUUUUGGAGCCAUUUGUUUUGGAAUAUUCUGCCUUUUCAUUUUUUUUCUCCAACGCUGGUAGCCCCAUUUGGAGACUUAAGUCAUUUUCCCUAGCAGACUCCCAUUCAUGCUAUCUCAGGUAAGAUUUGUUUUUUUUUUUUUUAAAGAUGCUGUUUCAAAAUGUUUUUCCUCCUUUGCCAUUUUGUCACACAGGAGUCGUUGCCGAAGGAUUUCUUGGCCAGUUUAGAAGCUGUAAUCUAGUUAAAAGAACAGCCUGAAACCCAUUUAUCCUGUGGUGCACUUGUUGGAAAUUUAACAAAUUUUAACAACGCAGUAUGAAAGAACCUGCAGUGCUCCGGUAUCCCUGGCAGCAGCUGGGAGUGCAUUCACUUCAGAGGUGGGCGGCCCUUCUGUCCAUCCUGCUUUCCAGACACUGGGGAGAGGACUGGGUAUAGGCCUGGCAAAGUGGGAUCCAGCUUAUAUAUUUGUAUACAUGCAUUAAAAAAUAUUUUAAUUCUUAUAGGUAAUCUUACUAGCGUUCAGUUUGGUGAACAUACAUUGCUAAUAGAUAGCAAUAUACGUCUGUUAAAUCUGAUGGGAUUUGGGGGCAGUUGUGAUUUGUUUCUGGGAGUUCUAUCAAAAGAGAAAUCCUUUGUAAAGCUGCAGGUGUUAAAAUUAGACAAAAAUACUUUCUGUUCUGGGAAAUUAUAUGCACUUACAGCAAUUGAAUAUUGAAGUUGAAAUGCAGGGAGAAAAAAAAAAAUCUUAAUAACCUGCUAACUAUAAUUCUAAGAUUUCACAGAAACAGAUUUCCUGGCCCUUCCUUCUGGUUCCUUUGAAUAAAUAAGACAUUUACAGAUCCA
rnacentral:lncRNA from 1 species